rnacentral:lncRNA from 1 species
GUCUUGAAUGUAUAUAUGCUUAAUAUAAAUAGCAAUGUUUUUUAUCAAUGUUUGUAUGAUUUCUUUUUGUGAUUCUUUAGCUUGUGAAUGUACUGGUAAAUCAAAUGGUGUAUAGCUGGAUUGACCACUCAGUUUUACACCAUGCACUUGUAUAAGACUUGGUCAUCUUGUGCAAGUUGCACCCAGUAUGUUUGUGUGGGAGGAUGAGUGUCUGUGUUUUAUUUCUUUUUAAAUAUGUAAUGUUCUAUGUGUUAUUCUGUUUUAUGUGAUCACAAUGACUUAUUAUCAUGAUUAUCAACUUCAGAUUUUAUAUUGUAUUUUCUUUUUUAAAUCAACUGCAUUCUUUGUGAUAAUCUUUUGUUUUUUAAUGUUUGAGGACAAACAUAUUUGAGCGGAGGGAAAUAUGUUAUAGGGUA